AAAACUUUUUUCACACUUCACUGAUUACAUUUUUAGUAACAGCUCAUGAACAAAUUAAUCACCUCUUCAGAGAGUGUUCAUUAAAAAUUGUCUUUUUUAGUGAUUCUCUGAGGCUUUUCAAGUUUGUGUAAACAGUGAUUGCAGCUCCCACCCUGACAUUUGCUCCCAUGCAGUAACAGCUUCCCACAGCAGUGCUGGGGAGCCUUUGUGCUCUGCAGGGGAGGCAGCACAACUCUCUGGGCUCUGCACCAGCCUGGCCUCCCCAAGCAGGUGAGAGAUGGAUGUGCAUGAAGUGGAGAAUUCUUGAUUUCUUCAGUGUUUAAGAAGGCAUAAGAGCUGACAAUUGAGGAGCUACUUGACAUGCUGUAAUCUCAUCUUUGAAAAUGGACCUCAUGGAUUCAAGCCUGUAGGGACUAGAAAACAUUUUUGGAGAAUUUUCCUGUUCUCUCUGCUAUGUUCUCCAGAGGAUGGAAACGGUAGAAGAGAUGACAACAAAUGUCACACACUUAAAUACAUGUGAGUAAUGGCACAAGCACUUGUUAAGUCAGAUGUUUCUUUGAAACAUCAAAAAUUAUUAAAUUUUCAUGGGAAGCUUGAA
rnacentral:lncRNA from 1 species